rnacentral:rRNA from 1 species
AGCCAGACUCCUACGGGAGGCAGCAGUGGGGGAUAUUGCACAAUGGGGGGAACCCUGAUGCAGCGACGCCGCGUGGGUGAAGAAGCGCCUCGGCGCGUAAAGCCCUGUCAGCAGGGAAGAAAAUGACGGUACCUGAAGAAGAAGCCCCGGCUAACUACGUGCCAGCAGCCGCGGUAAUACGUAGGGGGCAAGCGUUAUCCGGAUUUACUGGGUGUAAAGGGGGCGCAGACGGCAGCGCAAGCCAGGAGUGAAAGCCCGGGGCCCAACCCCGGGACUGCACUGGAAACUGCCGGGCUGGAGUGUCGGAGGGGCAGGCGGAAUUCCUAGUGUAGCGGUGAAAUGCGUAGAUAUUAGGAGGAACACCGGUGGCGAAGGCGGCCUGCUGGACGACGACUGACGCUGAGGCUCGAAAGCGUGGGGAGCAAACAGGAUUAGAUACCCCCGUA